GAUGAACGCUGGCGGCGUGCCUAAUACAUGCAAGUCGAGCGAACAGAUGAGGAGCUUGCUCCUCUGACGUUAGCGGCGGAUGGGUGAGUCACACGUGGAUAACCUACCUAUAAGACUGGGAUAACUUCGGGAAACCGGAGCUAAUACCGGAUAAUAUAUUGAACCGCAUGGUUCAAUAGUGAAAGACGGUUUUGCUGUCACUUAUAGAUGGAUCCGCGCCGCAUUAGCUAGUUGGUAAGGUAACGGCUUACCAAGGCGACGAUGCGUAGCCGACCUGAGAGGGUGAUCGGCCACACUGGAACUGAGACACGGUCCAGACUCCUACGGGAGGCAGCAGUAGGGAAUCGUCCGCAAUGGGCGAAAGCCUGACGGAGCAACGCCGCGUGAGUGAUGAAGGUCUUCGGAUCGUAAAACUCUGUUAUUAGGGAAGAACAAAUGUGUAAGUAACUAUGCACGUCUUGACGGUACCUAAUCAGAAAGCCACGGCUAACUACGUG
rnacentral:rRNA from 1 species